AUGCAUCAGUCUUAAAUACCACCUAAUUGUAAUGCACAGUAAACUGUUUUGUUUCAGUUUGCCUUUGGAUUUGUUUAUUUGAUUUUUAGGAUAAGGAGGGGUUUCCUUUCAUUUUUAGGGAAUUAAAAAAUUUACACUUACAGAAAUAGUAUCUAACAACCAGUUAAUAAAAUUUCAAGUUAAGCAUAUUUACAGUUGAAAUUACAAAUUUGAAAUUUUAGAAAAUGUUACAUUAUUUUCUGAAUAUCAUGUCUCCAACAGUCCAAAAAACGAAUAGUUUUGUGAAUGAAAAUGAUGCAGGAUUUACAUUAAGCUUUUCCAUCUCAAAGCUAUCAGUUGCAGGUUGUUAAUAUAUAAAUAACAGUGAACUUGAAAUACUUGGAACCCUGUAGAAGGUAAUUUUGACCUCAGAAUCACCAUGGGUUUAAUGAUUCACUAGGAAGACUCACAGGACUCAGCCUAAAGUCAUGUUCAUUGCUGUGAUUUAUUACAACAAAAAGGCAUAAAGCAGAAUCUGCAAAGGGACAAGACAAAUGAAGUCUAGAGGAAACCAGGCUCAAGCUUCUUUGAGUUAUUUCCUAACGGAGUCACACAGGAUAUGCUUAAUCCCACUAUUAAGGAGUUGUUACCACAUGUGUGAAAUAUUGUCUACCAGAGGAACUCACCUGAGCCUUGGAGUCCAGAGUUUUUAUUGGGAUCAGUUAUGCAGGCAUCCUCUGCUUUAGCAAGUACCAAAAUUCUAAACUCCCAAAAGGAAGGCAGGGGUUCAGCAUGAACUAUAUUCUUUGUACAAACCAAUUAGGCAGAGUAAAUCACCCUUCUCAGGGAAUAAUGAGCGUUUCUUGGACAUCAGCCAAGGGCCAACCUUGUAAGCAGAUCUUUGUAGGGAUAGCUGUAGCAGACCUGCUGUGUUAACUAUUUUCUGCAUAAGUAGUACUUACAAAACUUAUGAGAAAUUUUUAUUAGAAUAUUUAUUUAAAACAGAUUAUGAAGGCCACCUUUUUUGUUUUAGAAUUUGUAUUUCUUUAUUAAUCUGCAUUCUCUACCCUCACUCCAAGAGAAUCCUUCCUGGCAAAUUUAGGGAACUCAUAUUAAAGGAACUCUUCUAUAAAUUGAUAGUAUAUUCAAGAGUGUCCUUGUAGCUAUUGCUAGUAUUUCAUCGUUUGCUUUAAAAUUUAAAUACCUACUUUUUAAAAAAGUUGAUAUAUUUUGACUUAUUAUGAUAUAGAAGUGAAAGAAACAGUAAAAUUAAAAACAAGUUUUAUCUAUCUGUGGCAUAUGGGAUUUUUAGGCUUAUUUUCUGGGAAAAAUAACAGUUCUUGAAACCACAUGUUGUGAAAUACUUUACCACUGCUUGUGACAGCAAUCAUCUUCUGGGAAAGCACUGACUUUAAAUUCCCUACACAUCUAUUUAUGAGUGCAUCUAGGGGAUAUUUCUUGUGAUAGUAGGUUCAAGUUUUUCUUAAUAUAUUUUGUUCCUUCCUUCUAUUAGUAUCUAGGUUCCUCAUCUCGACACUCCUAAAAAUUCCUGUGAAUCUUAGAAUCUCCCAACCCCACUGGAACCUAUGAAUCCAGAUAAACAAAAAAGUACCAAUAAGGUGUGGUUAGUUCAGAAAUCUUUCAUUUGAAACCCAGAAGAAAAUGAAACUCAUGUCAAAGAUGAUAGAAAUAUAUAGUGCUAGUCUUGCAGCUUGAAGUUUAUCUGUUUUUAUGUUGUUUUGUAAGAAUAGUACAAAUAAUCUUUUUUUCUUUUGAUCUGUUUGCAAGUAAGUUGUCAAUAUGGUGCUGAUUCACUCCCAAAUAGUCCAUGGUCUUUUUUUUUUUUUUUUUUUUU